CUUCCUUAUUAGAACUUUGUAUUGUGACGAAGUCCUUAGAACUAUAUUUUGAUCGAUAGAGGAGGAUUUAUCGAAUAGUUCUUAAACAUGUUCAUAACCAAAUGAUACAUCAUUAAUAGGAACAAUGGCAUUUAUCAAGAGUAGGUAGUUGUAUGCUAUAUAGGUUAGUUGUCCUCAUAACAAGGAGUGUGGAGAUACUGGUAUAGCACACAGGUGAGAUGUAGGAGUAUAUCGUCACUGAACAAGUAAUUCAUCUGCUGAGCACUUGACUGUCAAGAGCAGCUCGUGAAAUAUAUGAGCAUAAGUGUCCCUCAGACCUGAAAUCACCAU
rnacentral:lncRNA from 1 species